AUUGAACGCUGGCGGCAUGCCUUACACAUGCAAGUCGAACGGUAACAGGUUAAGCUGACGAGUUGCGAACGGGUGAGUCAUGUAUCGGAACGUGCCCAGUCGUGGUGUAUAACUGCUCGAAAGAGCAGCUAAUACCGCAUACGACCUGAGGGGGAAAGCGGGGGAUCGCAAGACCUCGCGCGAUUGGAGCGGCCGCUAUCAGAUUAGGUAGUUGGUGAGUUAAAGGCUCACCAAGCAGACGAUCUGUAGCUGGUCUGAGGGGACGACCAGACACACUGGGACUGAGACACGGCCCAGACUCCUACGGGAGGCAGCAGUGGGGAAUGUUGGACAAUGGGCGCAAGCCUGAUCCAGCCAUGCCGCGUGCGGGAAGAAGGCCUUCGGGUUGUAAACCGCUUUUGUCAGGGAAGAAAAGGUUCUGGCUAAUACCUGGGACUCAUGACGGUACCUGAAGAAUAAGCACCGGCUAACUACGUG
rnacentral:rRNA from 1 species